rnacentral:rRNA from 1 species
AGUAACGGCGAGUGAAGCGGCAACAGCUCAAAUUUGAAAGCUGGCUCUCGGGCCCGCAUUGUAAUUUGCAGAGGAUGCUUCUGGCGACGCGCCUUCCGAGUUCCCUGGAACGGGACGCCAUAGAGGGUGAGAGCCCCGUCCGGUCGUGCGCCUAGCCUCUGUGAAGCUCCUUCGACGAGUCGAGUAGUUUGGGAAUGCUGCUCAAAAUGGGAGGUAUACGUCUUCUAAAGCUAAAUACCGGCCAGAGACCGAUAGCGCACAAGUAGAGUGAUCGAAAGAUGAAAAGCACUUUGAAAAGAGAGUUAAAAAGUACGUGAAAUUGUUGAAAGGGAAGCGCUCAUGACCAGACUUGGGCUGGCCCGAUCAUCCGGCGUUCUCGCCGGUGCACUCGGGCCGCCCAGGCCAGCAUCAGCUUUCGCCGGGGGAUAAAGGCGGCGGGAAUGUGGCUCCCUCGGGAGUGUUAUAGCCCGCCGUGCAAUACCCUGGUGGGGGCUGAGGUUCGCGCGUAUGCACGGAUGCUGGCGUAA